GGGAGCCGGCGCCCGCGGCGGGAGGCUACGUGCGGUGGUCACGUGUCGGCGGCGCCCCGCGUCUAGCUACGGCCGGGCCUGGCGGGUGUAGGGGCACCCGCGCUCGGGGCGGCACGGGAGCGCGGCCGGGGCUCGGGGCGUUCGCGGUGCGGUGCUGAGCAGAGAGACAGGCGGCGGCCGGGAAACGUGAGUGACCUCGGGGCGCUCGGCGCCGCCACCGUGUUUCCCCGCGGCUCGCCUGCCCGCCGACGCCGGAGGACCGGCCCCGGCCGCGGAGCAGGAGACACGGACCCCCGGCCCGCCCGCGUGCGCUUGCACCCGCCGUGGGCGCCCCGUGGGCGGGGGUCGCGCCCCAGCGCAGCACCCACCCGCAGGUAGAAAACCAGCUUGCCCACUACCAUCUCCCGUGUCAGGAGCUCUGCCCGGAAACGCCCACCCUUGGAUCGGUGUGUCCACGACCCCUUAUCCUGCUGGAUUGCACACGUUAAGGGUUAAAAGCAGGUGGCGCUCGCGCUGGACGUUUAAAAAUAAAGCCAGAUUUAUUGCCUGUUGUGAUGGUGACUUCACACCAAGACAAGAAUCCAGAAGAGUUCCGCCAACUGACCGGAACCACCAUUGGGUCAGCUUUGCUGCUGUGAUCUAGUCAUAAAUUUCUUGGAUAGUUCAAGCCUCGUUGAACCUGGUGAAGUAAAUUGCAAGAUAAAAUCUGUCGAGUUCCAGCUGUGUCCUGGCCUUUGGUUCAGGCUGAUGUGUUCCUCUCCCCGCUCUACUCAAACAUCGAAUUAGUAACCUCCACAACUCAAGAUGUGGCUACAUUUGGAUAUAGCGUCUUUAAAGAAGCAAUUAAAACGAAGUCAUUAAAAAAACAAAACAAAAAACGAGGUCAUUAGAGUGGGCCCUAAUCCAGUAUGAAUGUCAUCUUUACAAGAAGGAAGUGGACACAGGUGUGUGUGAAGCAGGACAACCAGAUUUAUUUAUUCAGAGAGAGACAGAGAGAGAGACAGAGAGAGAAGCAGACUCCAUGCAGGGAGCCCGACGUGGGACUCGAUCCCUGGUCUCCAGGAUCACUGCAGACAGCGCUAAACCGCUGCACCACCAGGGCUGCCCUAGCCUCUUAUCUCUAAUGAUACUUUCUGCCUUUUAGUUUUUCCUGAUACUAAAAUAACUACACCAGCUUUCUUUUGGGUAAUAUUUGCCUAAUAAACCGUUUUC